CUAAGCAUGCUCGGUGAAAAAGCUUUUCUCCUUUUGCCUGUCAAGCCCUAUGUUUGAACUCAUUCCAGAAUGCUGGAUUUACUUUUCACGAAGAAACUGUACCUGGCUGGACUGCAUUUUUCUUUCCCUCCUUAGGCACCGGAACACUGGAAACAGUAUUCUUCAGAGCACUCAGUCAUGCAGGGAGUCUGCAUGUGAGUCUGGCAGGGGAGAAGGAGGACAAACUUUGCUACCUGUGAACUGAAGACUUCGUAGGUAGCAGUGGAAAUGAGAACAAUUCUAUUUACGAUAUUGUUCGUGGUCUCCACAAAUGAGUAACUUGAUGACUUCAGCGGGAAUUGCUUGUAAAGAAGAAAAAGGGUCAUCUGGCAUCUUCUGAAGGCAAGUCAGGGCCAGAAGGCUCCAUGAAAGACCUACCCGAGAUAGAAGAAGAGGAUCUCACCUGCUGCCUAUUCUCCAGCGACUCCAUCACACACUGAGGUUCAACUGUGUGUUGGUGACAGAUUGAUAGGGAAGGAAUAAACCACAACACUGUGUUCUAAAGCAACCCAGUGGAACAAAGGGGAGCUACCAAUGGUGGUGAAGUCUCUUCUGCAAACCACACAACAGAAGCUGCUGCCCCAAUUCACAGUUGCUCCUUCCCACUGGCAAAGAGCCUAAGGAGGAGCUGUUAUAGGAAUUUGGGAAAGUCAUUUCAUGUCACCUAGUGAGUUUUAAUGGAGGCUUGAAAGAAGGAGAAAAAAUCCCCACUGUGUCCGCUUGUUGCUUAGGUGCACCACAUUGCCCUCAGUUUGUCUCAUCGCUCCCCGAGACAGUCUGUGUUGUGCCUGCGAAGUGUUGGAGGGGAGGAAGCGCGUGCCCAUCCUCCUUGCCUUUCUCACAGAGGACGGGCACAACACAGUCGCUGAGCACUGAACAUGUUGCCAGAUCUCCUUUUGGCAGCUGUGUGAGAAGGGAAUGCCACCGCAAAGGAAGGAUUACUGAGGCGAGAUUCAAGUUGGAUUCGAAAAGGACAAAAGUGCUGUGCAAUACAUAUACCACCACCUCGACAGGUGGUUCUUCCUGAACAAAGAUUAGCAGACAGAGUACGUGCCUUGAAGAGUUGGGCCUAGCAAGAUGGCAGCGUUCAUUCAAUAAGGAAUCUUGUAAAAUGCUGAUACGGAGAUUGGAUAGAGGAGCAGUGACUUCCAAGACUCUUCUGUCCCAGCAAGCUUUACAGAAAUUGCAGCCAUAUACCCAGUGCAGUCGGGAAGAAGGUUGAAAGGACAAAGAGAAGCAGGUGGGAGAUGCUGAGGAUGAAGUUGUCUGUCUGGGGACAGAGCUGCUGGCCAGAGGUGGGGGCCUUACCCAUGGCUGCAGGGAUCCUGCCAGAGCCAGCUCUCAAGGAUGAAGUGCGGCAAUUCAAGACCAGGGAAGAACCAGUGGAAAGGACGGCUCUCAUUAUCCAAAGCUGCUAAAACUUAUCACUGUUGGAAAAGAGCCUGCACUGCAACGUUAAGUGAUGCAGAAGCACAGACUGGCACCAGGACCAGGGAGACUGGCUGCUGCACUUGCGUCCCGCUGCUAUUUCUGGCAUGCAGAGACUGAGCAGUAUCUGAUGGGCCAACCGGUAUGAGAUGAAGAUAACAAAAGUAAUGUGGACAUAGCAGCUUUCUUCCAAGGACCUCAAACCACUCCAAGGAAAGCUUCUCUCUGCAAACUUCCUCUCACUCCAUUUCUGCAAGGACUUUUCCUGCAAACCAGGUCCCUAAGAAGAUUAGGGAUACCGGUUUAUUUAUACCCACCUCAGCAUGGUAGCAGCCAAAUGUUAUAAGUUGCUGGAUGGUUAGAUGGCCUGUGGCACAUGAAAGAAGCUUCAGUCUUCUGGUGCAGUUCAGAGUGAACAAGUGUCUUCCUCAUAGCUGCUCUGAACUUAUCCCUAAAGCUGAAAUUUGGGGGGUUUUGUCCUUUUUAACCUGUUCGCAUUGGUAAUACAAACAGGUAUGCUCAGGACUGAAAGGGCUGCAGAGCUUUGGCCCGUUUUUAAACAUGAAAACGAUUUUCAGGCCAACAAUUUCAAAUACCUGGUAGUCACGGUGCCAGGUGAUGUUGCCGUUUGUGUUUCCUUCUGUAAUGCCUGGCUUGAAUGAUCCCAAAGCAGCAAGCUCAGUUAAAUCCAUGGCUAUGAUCAAAAGAGAAUGACACCUCUAUCUUUUUUGUGCCCGCCUGGAGAUCCUUAGGUUUUGGAAUUGAGGUCUUUGAAAAACAAGAUUACUGGAGUCUAGUAAAUGAAGUGUCCGGAUGGUAGUGAUGAUUUAUAAAAGCGAUUGAAAAAGGAAAGCGUUUUUCCAGUGAGCGUAAUGUCUUGGUUUGAAGAUAUUCUUAAGUGUGUGUGUAAUGCUGCGAACAGUGGUCAGUGAUUAGUGACUGCUGUGUAUGAGAUUAUGGAUCUGUUUGCAGCAGAACACUUCUUUUCACAGGGUUCUGAUGACCGAAACCAUUUUAUUUCGUGGUCGAUUCUUUCUUAUUUUGUAUCUGUUUCAAAAUAAUUCCCAUCUCUUCCUUCUUCUUAGACUUGUAGAAAAGGCCAGGUUGGAUGGGCCUUGGGCAGCCUGAUCUAGUGGGACAUGUUGCUGCCCAUGGCAGGGGGGCUGGAACUAGAUGAUUUUUAAGGUCCCUUCCAACCCAAACUAUUUUAUCAUUCUAUGAGAAAAUCUACUGAGGAGUCAAUAUUUUCCAUGGGGAAAUGUGGUUUUUUGCAAUGUAAAUAUUGGAGAUGGCAGAUAAUUGAAAUACAUCAAAUACAGGGGGUUUUUUUCUCCACCAGUUCUACUCUCU